rnacentral:rRNA from 1 species
GAUGAACGCUGGCGGCGUGCUUAACACAUGCAAGUCGAACGAUGACCCCGUUCUUGCACGGGUGAUUAGUGGCGAACGGGUGAGUAACACGUGAGUAACCCGCCCCCGACUUUGGGAUAAGCCCGGGAAACUGGGUCUAAUACCGGAUAUGACUCUUUACCGCAUGGUGGGUUGUUGAAAGAUUUAUCGGUGGGGGAUGGACUCGCGGCCUAUCAGCUUGUUGGUGAGGUAAUGGCUCACCAAGGCGGCGACGGGUAGCCGGCCUGAGAGGGUGACCGGCCACACUGGGACUGAGACACGGCCCAGACUCCUACGGGAGGCAGCAGUGGGGAAUAUUGCACAAUGGGCGAAAGCCUGAUGCAGCGACGCCGCGUGAGGGAUGACGGCCUUCGGGUUGUAAACCUCUUUCAGUAGGGAAGAAGCGAAAGUGACGGUACCUGCAGAAGAAGCGCCGGCUAACUACGUG